AACUCAUGAUAAGGGCAGCUUCUCAAAAGUUCUUUGAAUCUAUCCCAUGCUUCUUGCAGUUUUUCAUCUUCCUUUUAAGAAAAAGCCAAAAUUUCUUGCCUCAACUU